AGCGAACGCUGGCGGCAGGCUUAACACAUGCAAGUCGAGCGGACCUUUCGGGGUCAGCGGCGGACGGGUGAGUAACGCGUGGGAACGUGCCUUCCGGUUCGGAAUAACCCUGGGAAACUAGGGCUAAUACCGGAUACGCCCUUAUAGGGAAAGGUUUACUGCCGGACGAUCGGCCCGCGUCUGAUUCGCUAGUUGGUGGGGUAACGGCCUACCAAGGCGACGAUCAGUAGCUGGUCUGAGAGGAGGAUCAGCCACACUGGGACUGAGACACGGCCCAGACUCCUACGGGAGGCAGCAGUGGGGAAUAUUGGACAAUGGGCGCAAGCCUGAUCCAGCCAUGCCGCGUGAGUGAUGAAGGCCUUAGGGUUGUAAAGCUCUUUUAUCCGGGACGAUAAUGACGGUACCGGAGGAAUAAGCCCCGGCUAACUUCGCG
rnacentral:rRNA from 1 species